UACGAAGGGAGCUAGCGUUGUUCGGAAUUACUGGGCGUAAAGCGCGUGUAGGCUGCUUCGCAAGUCGGAUGUGAAAGCCCUGGGCUCAACCCAGGAAGUGCAUUCGAAACUGCAGAGCUGGAGUCCUGGAGAGGAAGGCGGAAUUCUCGGUGUAGAGGUGAAAUUCGUAGAUAUCGAGAGGAACACCGGUGGCGAAGGCGGCCUUCUGGACAGUGACUGACGCUGAGACGCGAAAGCGUGGGGAGCAAACAGG
rnacentral:rRNA from 1 species